rnacentral:rRNA from 1 species
UACGUAGGGUGCGCGCGUUAAUCGGAAUUACUGGGCGUAAAGCGUGCGCAGGCGGUUUUGUAAGCCAGAUGUGAAAUCCCCGGGCUUAACCUGGGAAUGGCAUUUGGGACUGCAAGGCUAGAGUGCGGCAGAGGGGACUGGAAUUCCUGGUGUAGCAGUGAAAUGCGUAGAUAUCAGGAGGAAUACCGAUGGCGAAGGCAGGUCCCUGGGUUGACACUGACGCUCAUGCACGUAAGCUAGGGGAGCAAACAGG